GACGAACGCUGGCGGCGGGCUUAACACAUGCAAGUCGAACGGAAAGGCCCUGCUUUUGUGGGGUGCUCGAGUGGCGAACGGGUGAGUAACACGUGAGUAACCUGCCCUUGACUUUGGGAUAACUUCAGGAAACUGGGGCUAAUACCGGAUAGGAGCUCCUGCUGCAUGGUGGGGGUUGGAAAGUUUCGGCGGUUGGGGAUGGACUCGCGGCUGAUCAGCUUGUUGGUGGGGUAGUGGCUUACCAAGGCUUUGACGGGUAGCCGGCCUGUGAGGGUGACCGGCCACAUUGGGACUGAGAUACGGCCCAGACUCCUACGGGAGGCAGCAGUGGGGAAUAUUGCACAAUGGGCGGAAGCCUGAUGCAGCAACGCCGCGUGCGGGAUGACGGCCUUCGGGUUGUAAACCGCUUUCGCCUGUGACGAAGCGUGAGUGACGGUAAUGGGUAAAGAAGCACCGGCUAACUACGUG
rnacentral:rRNA from 1 species